rnacentral:misc_RNA from 1 species
GAUCAACAGUCACAGAUAAUUAUGCAGUUUUAAUUUGUCUGGUUUAUUGCGUGACCGGGAUAGCUUAUGCGUUAGCAAUUUUCUUGGAGCCUGGUCCAGCUCAACUGUGGUCGGUGCUUCUUCCAGUUGUUUUGACCUUAAUAGCAACACGGGGUGAAAACAGCAAGUUUGUUAACAAACUAUCUAACUUCUGUUACACUAAAUGGGCAUUGGAA